CGGUUGAUCCUGCCGGAUCCGACUGCUAUCCGGGUAAGACUAAGCUAUGCAAGUCGAAUGGAAUCGCUGAUUCCAUGGCGAACUGCUCAGUAACAAGUGAUCAACUUACCCUUCAGUGGGGGAUAACCUCGGGAAACUGAGGCUAAUCCGCCAUAGUUGGCGCACCCUGGAACGGGGUGCCCUCGAAAGAUAUUUCGAAAUGCCGAAUGUUCGCUGAAGGAUAGGAUCGCUUUCGAUUACGGUUGUUGGUGAGGUAAUGGCUCACCAAGCCUCUGAUCGAUAAGGGCCGUGAGAGCGGUAGCCCUGAGAUGGAUACUGAGACAAUGAUCCAGGCCUUACGAGGCGCAGCAGGCGCGAAACCUUUACAAUGCACGACAGUGUGAUAAGGUUACCCGGAGUGCUAAGAGAAAACUUUUAGCUGUUAUAGGUGUGUAAAUAACCCUAUGAGAAAGGAGAGGGCAAGGCUGGUGCCAGCCGCCGCGGUAAAACCAGCUCUUCAAGUGGUCGGGAAUAUUAUUGGGCUUAAAGCGUCCGUAGCCGGUUAGAACAGUUCCUGGUAAAAUCUGGCAGCUUAACUGUCAGGUCGCUAGGAAUACUAUCUUACUAGAGGGUGGGAAAGGUUUGGGGUACUCCAGGGGUAGCGGUGAAAUGCGAUAAUCCGUGGGGGACCACCAGAGGCGAAGGCGCCAGACUGGAACACGCCUGACGGUGAGGGACGAAAGCCAGGGGAGCGAACGGGAUUAGAUACCCCGGUAGUCCUGGNCGUAAACGAUGCGUGCUAGGUGUUGGUAGGGCUUUGAGCCGUAUCAGUGCCGUAGGGAAACUGUUAAGCGCGCCGCCUGGGAAGUACGCUCGCAAGANUGAAACUUAAAGGAAUUGGCGG
rnacentral:rRNA from 1 species